ensembl:lncRNA
CAGAGUGAUUACAAAUAGACAUAAGAAUAAGCAAAAAUAAACAAACCAAAAGAAAAAAAAGGAAAGUAAAUGAAUAACUAAAUGUAUAAAUUCAAAGUUAAAACUUUUCAUAAAUGAUCAAAAAGUGUUUUCUUUUCUUGUUAUUUUUCUUAUGUUGAGAAUGUAAGAAUUGUACAUAGUUGAAUGUUAUGUUGCCUUUAAGAGAAAGUGAGGUGGAGUUCAUUGCCGACCUAUCAGGAGAGGGACAACGUGAAGCAAGCGGAUGACAUCACCAGCGCGCGAAGAGAGAGAGAGAGAGAGGAGACGCAAACGCAAACAGAAAUAUCGGCAGAGAUCAUUCUGACUGAAAAUAUGAGAAAUUGAAACUGAAACCAGAUAAAGCGUCUAGAAAGACAUUGAUUUUCCUUUGAACUGAACUUUAUUUUGUUUCUUGAGUGAUUUUGAGUUAUUUUUGAGUGUUUUUUCGACGUGAACACGGCGAUGACGCAGACUGAGCUCAUCAACGCAUGGAACAUGGCGAGCCUCCCAGCGAAUCUCAAUUACAAUGAAACCAUCGAACGAUUUCAGCGGAUUCACUGCUAGUUUUCCCCGGACGGAGGAAAAAAUAUGUGAGUGAACAGACGUCAAUUAUUUUUUUUUUCUCCUUAUGUGCUAUUCUGUUCAAUACAACAGAAGAAGGCCUGGAUCAUUGCAUCUAACGUCUCAUGUAGUUUUGUUCGAUUGUUCAACACAACGGUAGGCCUGGAUUAUUGCAUCUAAAGUCUCAAUCGGAGAAGGUUUAUUGGGUGAAAUAUUUGGAAUGUAAGUUAUUUUUUUUAUUUUUUUUUCUGAGUUGUCUAUUUGAAUAUCACAUUCAAAUGUAAAGCUACAGAGUACUCAAACAAUUGAAGUAGAGCAGUGUAGGUUUCAGUUAAGGAACCUAAAAUCUAAACUGAUUCAAAUAAAUAAACAUUUAAAAGAAAAUUAGGUAAAGAUAAAAUUAAACUAUACUAAUACUAAAUACACUAAACUAGAAGUAAUAUACUACAAGUCUUGAUUUCAAAAAGAUUUAAAAGAAAUAAGUCCUAAAAGGAAAAGAAAUUAAAGAAGGAUAAAUAACAGAUCAUUCUAAUAAGAAAACAAACCCAGAGCCCAGUUUAUUUAUUUUCCUUGCAUUUAUUAUCAUUCAGUAAUUUCAUUGUUAUUUUGUUGAUCAUCAG